AUGGAGAGCCGGAGGAACGCAUGUACAAUUAAGUUAUCGUAAAGGUGUAUUAUAGUAAUUCUCGUAUAUAACUACGUAAAUUAGUAAGCAUACAAAACUUAUCUAGCAUUAAUGGGUUCUUGUUACGGACGUACCUCUUUGUUUAUAUAAAAAUAAAACUUUUAGUGACUCGAGCUCGCCUUUUCUCCGCUGGCUUGCCGCUUCAGGGCCAUUAUUAAUGGUUCUAAGCAAUGACUUACUGCAAUGUUCGCAAACUGUAGCAUUCUUAAGUUCUUCUUACUUAUAAAGGUCACCUUUGCUUCAACUUGUUCUGUAUAAUAACAAUUGAUUUUGCUAUACUAUAUCUUCAGUCCACAAAAGCAAUGCACACUUCUUUUCUACUUCAUCCCCUUUUUCUAGGAGUGAAUUACGGUCACAGUUUUGUAUCUCAAAUUUUCAGCCUUCUGAUUGGCUAGAGAUGCCGUACGGGUUGUGGUGUACGUAACGUCCGUGAAAGUAAAAAGGCAAACAAAGAUGGCAGAAAAGAUGUAGCGUAUCUGCAAAAUUCCACUGGCAUCAGGCACAAAAAACGCGAAGUAAGCCGUCUAUAGCUAACACACCUGAAGAUAGGAAUUCUAACAUCAGGCACCAGUAGGUAUGUGUGAAUAUGCAGUUCGUGAUGGAAUUUAUUCAUUACAACCCGAUUGUAAGAAAAACAACCGAUUAAAACGUUAUGAUGGAAGAACAGCAAAAUAGCAUAUUAUAAACAUGAAAGUCGUUUUUGUUCUAUGGUAAUAGUUGUUGUGAUUGUUAUAAAUAUAUAUAUAUAUAAAAAUGAGUAAAAUUUGAAAAACCAGAAAAAGACGAUUGCUGUAAUAAUAUCUCCUAUAUAAUUUGAAAAAAGUCCGUCUGGGUGUGAGGCAAGGUAAAUUAUAUUUUCUACAAUUUUCUUUGCCUAAAGAAACAUCUUCUAAAACUAUGUUUUGUAUUUUGAAACUUCUUUAAUUGUCUAAAACAAAUCACAUGAUAAAAGGAAAUAAUUUCAUUAGCUGGGAAUUUUGGCAGUUUUACCCUAAUUUAAAUUUGCUAAAGGUUUUUUAAAAUGGACUCUUAUUAUACGAAUUUAUGUUUUGCGUUUGAAUGACGUUUUUAUAUGUCGAAUAUCCCAAAUAGAAAUUACUAUCUGCAAGGAAUCUUUUUACUCCUUGAUGGUUACUCAUGUUUCUAAUCAAAUAUUGGUAGAGCUUAGAGAUAUUUUAUAAUUUUGUUGUUUUGUACAACCCAUACUCAAUUUAUUUUGUUUUGUAAUUAUCUAAAAAAUAGAAAGUAACGAGCUGUGACUAUUGAAGACUGUUUACUUUUUGUUCUCAUUUUCUUGUAAUUUGAGUUAUUGUCGUGAGAAAAAUAAUACCUUAAAAUUUUGUUUUAUGGUAAAGAAAUAUUGUACACGAA